CUGGAAGAAAGUACCUACUACUACAACGCGAGAAGAAAUCGGCGAAUCGUGAGUUAGAGGCAGCGACAAGAUUCCAAACGUGAGUUCGCGGUUGAAUCGCUUAUCGCGUUUAGAGAAUACAGAAAAUCUAUCGAUUCACCGAUUUCCUACUCCUGUCAUUUGACCGAACAUCCAUGGACGCGAUCCGACUCUCGUCGUUAUUAUUACCAGACAUGCCCUUUUUCUCUUCGAAAUUUCGUUUACCUCUUUGUGUUCCAAACCCGAUUUUUUGCGAGAUUUCUCUAUUUCUUUUUUUUUUUUUUUCCUUUUCUGUCGCGUAAGGAAAUGCGUGUAUGUAUGUAUAUAUGUAAUCAGAUUCGCAGAACCAUCGAUAUUUUUGUGCAGGACUAGACGUAUAGACAAAAGGGCACGCUUUGUUUCAUUUUAUACGCUGUAGCCAACGCUGCAACGCUGCUUUUCUUCUCUCCGUCGGAUGACGAGUGUGGAUCUCGCCUUGCGUUUCUUUCUUCAAACACAGCUAAUUAAACGCGUUACGACGAUGGAUUUUUUAAUAUUAUUGCCAACUUUGUACAGUGUUGAUAAUAAUAAUGAUAAUAACAAUAAUAUCGCAUUAAAGAUGGAAAAUAACAAUCUAUCUCGUUCUGUUCUCGUAUAACUGAGAGAGAAAGAGAAAGGUAGAGAAGAGAGAAGAGAGAGAGAGAGAGAGAGAGUGUGUGUGAGAAGUGAAAUGCAUCUAUGCUCAUUUGAUGCAAAUACGACUCAUAGGCGGAAAAACACCGUUCAUUUAUUUAAUAAGUAAUCCUUAGUACAGGUCUCUUUUUUACUUUUUCUUUUUCUAUUUUUUUGCCUUUUCUUUGUUCUUACGUAGUUCUUUCACCUAAUAGAAGUGUAUCUACGAUAAAAAGUAUUUUCCAUAUCAUUGUUCAACGUGCUAAAUUCUUCAAAUUUUUAUCUCUUUCGUAAAUCGGUUUCUCUCUCGCAUGCACGCAUAC